GAUGAACGCUAGCUACAGGCUUAACACAUGCAAGUCGAGGGGUAACGAGAGGAAAGCUUGCUUUCCUUGUCGACGACCGGCGCACGGGUGAGUAACGCGUAUCCAACCUGCCCCCAACUAGGGAAUAACCUUGCGAAAGUAAGACUAAUACCCUAUAAUUUCCUCAGAUGUCAUCUGACGAGGAAUAAAGAUUUAUCGGUUGUGGAUGGGGAUGCGUCUGAUUAGCUUGUUGGCGGGGUAACGGCCCACCAAGGCAACGAUCAGUAGGGGUUCUGAGAGGAAGGCCCCCCACAUUGGAACUGAGACACGGUCCAAACCCCUACGGGAGGCAGCAGUGAGGAAUAUUGGUCAAUGGGCGGAAGCCUGAACCAGCCAAGUAGCGUGCAGGAUGACGGCCCUAUGGGUUGUAAACUGCUUUUAUACAGGAAUAAAGUUAGCCACGUGUGGUUAUUUGUAGGUACUGUAUGAAUAAGGACCGGCUAAUUCCGUGCCAGCCGCCGCAGUAA
rnacentral:rRNA from 1 species